CGACCUUAUUACGCCAUUUUGGUGAUUGUCGCUCUUCCUAUUUUAUGAAACAUAGUACGUACAACGUACAAUCUGACGAUCUUAUUAAACGAAUCCUAUGAUAUCUUCAGUUUAUUAAAAAUUGAUCAAUCAAACGUACCAUCAAAUCUCUAAAACUCUUUCACACGGUCGAGAGGAUUUCGAUGUUCGGAAAAUGCAAAGCAAUCGUGGCAUUCAAAGUGCAAAGCAUUCUGCGUUCGACACAGAUUAAAUCCAACCGUAUUGAAACGAAAUUCCUUUGUUGCUCGUUGAACCCGGUGCAAGCGUCUUCAAAGGGGCGCACGUAUUUAGACAUUAUAAUUUUUUCACAGUGGAAGGGAAUCAGGAAUCGAUUAAGGUAUAAGUUUUAUGAGAGGAAAGAGAGAUCGGUUGGAAGAGUGGAACGAGCUCGCUCGGCGCUUUUCCAUCGUCAUUUUUAUCGGCGCGGAUAAGACAGCCGGGCUAAUUCGCAUUCCCCUUGAUGUCUGCCGGAGUUAACAGUUUUAAGGGAUGAAACGAGUAUAGAUCGAAGGCUGGAAGCAUCGCGAAGGCGAAGGAAGACGAUGCUUAAGAAGGGAGAAGACACGCAGGUUAGGGGCGACGACGAGAAAAGGAGACGAAGCAAGAAAUUGAUACAGCAUACGAAAAUGAAUUGCCCCUUUGCCGAAGAAUGUUCCACGGCAAUCUGCCUUGUGCCUCGCUUUCUUAUACUUUUUAUGCUCAUUUUCAAUUUUCCCCAUACUGCCGAUCCACCGGGCUCUCCUAUAAAACGUUGCGGUAACGUGUCACUCGCGUCUCCCACUUGCACUUUUAUUCUUUCCAACGAUGACAGGAUGAAUACAAACUGACUCAUUAUUUCCGCCGCCUUGUUUCACGUUGCGAUCGAAAAUGGAUUAUGUAUAUGAUUCUAGGUAUUCAAUUAACGAAUUCAUUAUUCCUGGAGGAAGAUCUAUCGUUUUAUGGAGAGAUAGCAUUUUUUAUUUUAUUGGAAAUUCCAUGAAAAUGUUGGUUUGUAGACUGAUCAGUCCAAGUAAAAUUAUUUACGACUGCAAAUUAUCGAUCUACUGAUUUAUCAUUUUUUUCAUUCUUUUCUUUUUUGUCGUUAAUGAAAUCUACCUUUAAAUACUCUUUAUAGAGAAACGAGUAGAUCUAAUCAUGCAAUUUUCUUAAUAUUCCUGGUAUAAUUUAAUUCACAAAUCUAAAGGUACUACGUAUUCCAUGGAAUCUAGAAAUUUUGGAAAACCAUCUGUAAAAAAGACACGCAAAAUUUUGUACCGAUUUACCUUCUUACACCUUCUUUAUUUAAUCUACCCAAUUUAAUCUAUCAAAUGUGUAAUCUAUAUCCGUAGAAUCUUUUUCUAAUUUCUAUCCCUGUGUCUACCCUUUAAAAUACUAACGUAUAUUCAAAGACGACCGCGUACAUUAAUCACCAUGAUCGACGCAUAUACAUAUAUACAACGUGUAACAAGUACAAUUAAAACAUGACAGGCAGACAAUGAUAAGAAUCCGAAUCGAAUUUAAAACGACGUCCUGGCAGGAUGGCGGGGUCGAAGAAGAUAAAUUUCAGCCCGUGGAUGCGAAAUCAAGGCUCGAGUAUCUAAAGUGCUUCCAAGACGAGUCGUUGCUGGUGCGAGAUAGGGCCAUGUUCGUUCCGUUGCUUAUUUGUCGCUGGAGAAACGAAACGACUGGGGGAAAUGGUGAGUCGGUUCUGGGGGUGGAGUUGAAGUUGGGGAUUCUUCGAUACGGUACAAAUAACACUUGCAGACACCGAUUCCACUUUCUCUCGUUUUCUCUCUUUCUCUGUUGCGCGUAGAAGGAGCAACUCCAGAUUCUUCCAUUCGCCUCGGGACUCUUCCAUUCGUGGUUCGAUGGCUUCGUAGAUGCUAUCGCUAAGAAGGAAUUCGGAAUCCUAAGAAUACCGCGAUCGCGAUACUGUCUUUUACUUGCGAUACUUUUCUCUUGACUACGAAUAGCUUUAAAUUUUAAUUCAACUUGUUUCGAUUAAAUGAACGAAAGGCUCGUUAGAAAUUAUAAUUGCGAGUUUCAUCGUAUUGCAUGAUUUAAAAAAGAAGAAGAGACAUUUGCAAAUAUAUUGUAUGAAAUUAUUCGUCCACUCCCCCCACAGUUAGAAGCAUCGGACGAAGCAAUCUCGUUCGUUCAGCACGAAGCAUUUUUGGAGCGUUCUUAAAGUAUUCUUAAAGCAUUCUUAGAGCACUGGAAUGUUUGAUUUCUAAAUCGAGCAAUCUCCAAACGACAGGUUCCCCUUUUACACUUUCGUUUUACUUUAUUGUACGCAGAAUUAGAGUGACAAAAAGAAAAGAGGAUUUUAAACAUUCACGAAUAUAAAUACUUUUUAUUAUAUUAUUCGAAAAUUGUGUAUUGUUGAAUAAUAGAGUAGGUCACGUGUGCUAUACCUGGAAGAUCGACACAAUAAUUCAAUUACUAUCAAAGCGUGACGAAUUGAUGCAUUUCGUUAACCGUUAUAAUCAGCUUUAGCGAACCAGAAGAGAUUAAGCGGUUGCGAAAAUUUCGGUAGAGCGAGGCUGAAUUAUUUAGCAGCGCGGAAGAACGUAUCGGUGGUAAGCAGCAAGCACUUCCUAUUUCCGUUCCGUAAGCCUCCUUGCCUUUUUGUCCCGCUCGACAACAAUGGACCGCCUCGAUUUCCAGCGCGGAAACGCGUUUCCUACAGUUGCUUGAGCCGAUUCCGCCGUCAGCAAGGAGGCAAGCGAAGAAAAAGCAUCGAUCUUGGGGAAAAAAGCGACGCGGGUUCCGAAUACCUGGUACCUACGGCGCUGGAAAAAAUAUGGGAAACCCCAUCCUUGGAAAAGAAGUGGGGGCGGCCGUGAAGGAUGGGGUGGUUACCGUGCGAUACGUGGGUAUAAUAUUUCAAUGCUCGCCGGAGCCUGUCCGGCAAGGCUCGUCUCUCGCUGCCAUCUCUGUCAAGUAAUGUUAUUAUAAUUAUACGCGUGUGUGCUUGGUCGGUCAUUUCUUGUGCCCGUCCAUCCCCACUUCCACACGCCACCCCUUUGUCUGUCUUUCUCUUCUUUCACCUUUUCCGUCACCAGCGCCGAGCUGCCUGCCUCUUCUGUCGCCUCUCUUCUCCUUUUUACCUCGCCUUUCUCGUCCCUCUGCUCUCUGUUCGACGUUCUCUAUGCCCGGGUAUUGUGCAAUUAAAAUGUCGUAAUUGUCCUUUGGAAUUUAUCUUGAAAUUCGUCGCUCGCCAGCCUUUCAUCUCCCCCGUACUCGCUGUUUCGCGAUACUCGUUUGGAUAGAGAUAUCGAACCGUCGAAUCGUCGAUAUGAAACGUUACAGGCGUUUAAAGCGAUAACGCAAUAUUACACCUCUUAUCUGCUCGAUAUACGAUAAAAUUCCUUCCUACGUAUCUCCAUCGAAUAAAAUUUAUUCCUUUCCUGAAACUAUUCCGUUACCUUCUUCACAAACUUUACAAGAAUAAAGUUGUAUUCAUUCGAAAGUAUCCAGUAUGAAGUAUUUUGCUAACACUUGCACAUUUAAAAACAAUAGUACAUAUUUAUCGUCAAAGAGGAUAGGUAAUAGCGGGGAUCGAAGAAGCUUCUUGGUUGAAACGGAUGUUCGUUGUAUCCGCAUUCUUGGACGGCAGCAGGUCCACCAGCGGAGGCAGCCUCGGUCGAUACUUACCCCGCGACGAAAGGCCGCCGAGGAGAUAAAACCGGAUGGUGUGUAUGUAUGCGAUCACCUGAAUUUCAGAAUUGCAAAUUCUUUAAUUCACGGGGACGCAAUGGCGGCGACGGCAGCCGCCGCGGUUUGCGACAGUGGUGCCCGCCAGCAAAAUACCUUCGCCUGACCUAUACAAACAUCGCGGGAGACGAGGGAUGUGUAUUCAAAAAUUUACAUAGGUACAUUUUGAUUAAAGUGUCCUAGAAAGCAAAUCUAAUACAGCAGCCGGCCCGUACCUACAUGCCGUACCCCCUCGUCCUUCUCUCUUUCCCUUUUUACUCCCGUUUCCCUCUUCCCCGUGUUCUUCUCUUUCGCGCCGUCUCUUCUCUCACGCCCCUUCUAUCUAUAGAGGGAAAGAGCGGAGCGCGCGGAAUUGCGGAGAGGAUUAUUACGUAUCCUUCGGAAACUUUCCGCUGGACGGAGAAUUGGAUCCGGACGAAGUAUGAAAGGACUGAAUGUUUCACGGACGCGUCUAUUAUAUCAUGAUAAUCUCGGGAUUUAUUACUUGGUGCUGGGCUUAUUUUGACGGCGGCGUGAUGCAUUAAGCGACUCGCAAGUGGAAAAUGAUACGCGCGAAUGUUAAAUCUCUGAGGACCGUAAUUAAAAGAAUGCCCCGGGUGAUCAACGAACGCUGAUCGUUUCCUCGUCCAAAUUUUUACUUACCUCCGAACUUUAUGUCGAACUUCGUCAUUUAUUGUCGUACAGUUUGUUCUUGCAAAAUGCGGUGUCUUUAAGUACGGUUAUCAGUAGGUUGAAUGUACUUGUGCAUUUAUGAGAAUUUUGAUGAUUUAGGAACAUAUAGAACGCGUGUAAAGUAUCCAAAUACUUCUACUGUGUUUACAAGUUGAUCUUAUAAAAAUGUGUUCAUAAAAAGUAUACAUUCGCAUUUCAUUACAGCCUUAAUGAAAUCUCAAGAUGUUCCGUAUAACGCUGUGGACAGAAAAGUUCUCCUUCAUAAGCGUUAGAAUACUUUCGUGAGCAAUUGUACGUAAUACUUGACGCAGUAAAAUUAGAUACAACGGAAUCUAUUCCAACGAGAACUUAACGUCGCGGGUAUAAAAGGCUAGGUCCUUUGCAUCCUCGUGCGCCGAUUGGAUUUGCCAAUUAAUUGCCGACGAGGGAUAAAGCCGGCGGACCGUGGAUGAAAGAAUAACGACGCGGAAACGAAACGAAAUUUAAAUAUUCUCGCGGUAUUGCCGACAUUCCUCUGAGCCUCCCCGGCUCACAGGAAGGGAGGAGCGCGAGCUCGGUGUAAUUGCAAAAUUGCAUUAGCUUUGUGUUCUUCUGCCGUUCGCCCAGACGUAAGAGAUACGCAUGUAGAGAGCGUUGCAUCAGAUGAUUCAUAUGGAUUUUCAUGUUUCCCUUCCACCACCCCAUCCAGCGAUAAGUAUCGUUCUUUCAGACCGACGGACCGACGGCCGAAGCGAGAUAAAUCUUUCGUAGAUUUUUGUGAACGCCAAGGGAAUCAUUAUUGCGAGUGCUGAUCACCUAGCCUUUUAAUUAUGGAAAUGUACGGAACGCUUCCUGGAUGUUAGGAGAUACGAAACGUCCGCCGAAUGUGUGUCUGAUAAAGUACAUGCACUUUGAUAAAAUACAGACACGUAUCGGAGCUUCGUUAUUAUUCGCACGAAGCAUCGUUGGAAAAGGUAAUCUCCUUGAAAAGAUAUUUUCUCGGUGUAUCCAAAAUGCAUAUUUAACCUAAUAAAGAAAAAUAUCAUAGUUAUAUAACUGUUCCUAGAACUAUAUGCUUAAACGUGUGUACUAUAUAAUGUACUAAUAUCAAAAAAUGCUAUAUAAUAUAUAUAAUCGAUUAAUAAUUGAUCCUCUAAGUCUAUUUAGUUAGGUCUAUUAAGUAAUUAAUUGUUCCCCAGCGUAUUUUCUGAAUAGUUCAAUUAUUAGGAAAUUUUUCUUUAUUCGAUAAAUAGAGAAAGAAGAUUUGCAAGAUCCAUUGCAAUUACUAAUUCACGCAAUAGUAGCCUUAUACUGAAAAGUUAGAAUUACAACCAACGCAACCUACCCGAUUCGCUGUUUCGUCUUAUGCGUUCUUUUUCCAGGAAGCUCCUCGAUAUAUAAAUAAAAAACAAACGGAAGAUAGUCCGUUUCGAGUAAUCGUCGUUCCUUCGAAGAUCUUCCGGUGAACUCUUAAAAAAAUCUGUUAUUCGUAGAAAUUAGCGAACGGCUAAAAAAGAACACGAUAAAUCUAGGGAAAAGAUCCCGCUGUCAGAGGAACGCGCGUAAGGACGAAUCACGGUGGUUCGCAACGAGUCGUACAUUAUGAUUUAAUGCUAACACUGUGGUAAUGUCGUCAGAGGAUUUCUACGUAUAAAUAAUUCGCGUGUCCGGACACCCAACCCCGAGGAUCUCGAGUCAGGAUGGACAAGGGUGGAGAAAGCAGAGGCGGAGAAAGAGGUCGCCAGAGGGUGGAGCAGGGGUGGCAGGUUUUUAAUGCGGCAUCUCUGGGGGCGACGAGGAUUACCAAGGCUAAAAAGGAAGUUUUUAAUAAUUUUUCAUUUUCUCUAUAUUUAUUAUCGCGCGCUUCCUAACCGGAGGGGGGCCGCUGGAGACAAUGGAGGGUUGGUACACUGGUCCGUCGUCCAGGGCUCUAUAGGAAACAGCAAGGGGCGAAUUCACGAUUGUCAGUCGUCGUUGUAAAAUUUUCAUUCGUUUUGUCCUGGCUCUUUUAUGCCCAGGUCUUGGUUGUUUUCGAUCUUGCUUAUGUAAAGUCGUCAUUUAAUACACAACUUGAUUUAACGAAACUUCUCAAUAAUUUCUAAUUAAAUAUGAAAACGAGCAGGUCGAAUACGAAAAACCACUUCUUUUUGUUCAUAACAUUGUGUUUAUGCAUCGAUACUUUUAUUUUGCCUGAUUAUUAAUAUUUGUGGGGAUGGGAAUUUGAUGUGAAUAAUUAUCGGGAAAGUCGAGAGUUUAAUAUUAAAGAGGAAGAAUAACGUAAAUUCAUCCAAGGAUUUAAAUGGGCGAGAUUGAAUGUAUUCUGAAUUCAUCUACGUAGUUUGUUUGGAUAUGAUUUAUUAUGUAAUAGUUAUUCGUAAUUAUUGAACGCAGUUAAUUAUCAAUGGCUAUUGUAUAGAACAAUUGCAUCAUUGAGUAGUUUUAUUUUGUAUUGGCCUGUAAUAAACUACUAUUAUAUUUAACAAUUGCUUGUAGUAUGUUUAGUUAUAAUUUUAUAUUUUCAUGUUUAUUUUCUAGGGAUGAUAAUCUGUUAUCGUUCUGAAGAUAGCGUAAUCGAUAUUUCUACAAGUUAUUUCUUUACCAAGAAAAUACCUACAGUAUCGGCAUUAUUGUGAAAGCAUCGACAGCAAAGAAAAUUACGUUUCCCAAUCAGUGGAUCCCUGAAGAAGCGAAAAAGCACGGGCUGGGUAUUUCGUUAAGGUGAGCGACGGGACACGAGGAAAUUUCAGCGAAGUAUGCACCGAGGAAGAAACGACAGAGGGUUCGAGGCAAGGGAGAAAUUUGUCUGUGCUAAUUUGUUGCAGAGAUCGCGGAAUUGAAGGAGGCGCGAUGUCUCUUCCGUUGGCCCAAAGCAUUCCACCGCACGCCUUUCUUCCGGCCACCCCUGACUUUCUUCUCCACCCUCGUGAGCCUCAGCAUCCUAUCGCAUUUUCUACGAGUUCCAUUUCGAAUUAGGUACAGCUCUUUGUCGAUAAGGAAGAACGACAGUGGCGAAGGGGAGAGGAGUAGGAGAGUGGAAAUUAGCAGGAACAUCUGUUAAUUAAUUGAUAGUGUCUAAUUUGUGGCACUUUAUUACGAUAUGAAAAUAUCUAACAGCGAUAAAUUACUAAUUUAUGUUUUUUUUUAUAUCUACUGUACGUCGUUCGAACAAAAAUUUGUCGACGAUCUACUCAAUUUUUAAAUUAUAUUUUAAUGUAUUUCAAAUGCUAGAGGUAAGUUUGUAUAUUGACGUCUUGCUGGUUGAAUCAGUCAGUUUGUCAAAUCGGUAAUUAAGGAGGGAAAAAUUGCUUGAAUCUGAGCUUCCCUCUUAAUCCAAUAAAAUACACUCUCGACGUAUUAAUCAGAAACGCGGGGCAACGUGUUUCAUAAGACUCGAAGUAUCGUAAGAAGCCGGACGAAAACAUCAAUGUCAAUAAUAAUUCAUUGAUUACUUAAUUCAUAGUUACCAUGACGACCGCCUCUCGCUUUUCCCUCGCCUUCAAGCUGUUCUGUUUUUCUCGCUUCGGCGAAGGAGAGUUACGUGUUCCUUAAGCUCGCCUCACACGAAAUCGACAGAUUUCGUGCGAUCUAUGUGAUCGAUUUACUUUUUCGAAUAAACAGAAAUUCUACGUUAUUUUAAUUUCAUAUUACCUAAUAUAUGUAUGUGUAUUUUAAGAACGAUGAGUUUCAUAUUACAGGUAUAUAAGAUUCUUUAAAAGUGUAUAACUUCCACUGGCUGUUUGUAAGCUUUGCAUCAGAUUAACUAGAACGUGAAUCUCAAAUCUUCUCGUUAGAUACAUAUGAAAACAAGCACGAAUAUACGAGCAACAUGAAACUGAAAGGAUAUUUUAAUUACGCAUCCUACUUUGAACUUCAUAUUCAUUUACCAUUUCUUUUAUUAUUACUAUCAAAUAAUAUAUGUUCGAUGUUCUUCUAGAUCCAUUUUAUAUUAAAUAUUCUUCUAUAUCCACUAAAAGUUAACUACGUAGUGCCAUCGAAUAAGAAUUCGCGCAUAAAAUUAGUACAAACAUCCAUGUUUUCAACUUCAAAUAAGAACCUGUGCAAACAAAGGGUAAAUCUCAUUUUUCUUCGACCACCAUUCGCUUACUAAAAUUUAAUUACAUAGUGUCAUCGAAAGAGAAUUUCUUUCCUAUACAAAAUUACUACAAACUUUUUAUAUUUCAUCGAUUUAAAUUUCUACCAAAAUGCAAAAGAAACGAAGAAGUCGCGACAAAGUGAAUGGGACAAUCAGCCAGGCAGUGUACGUAGCUGACUACGCCGAAAGUCUGGCGCGUUGUGAGCGUCGCAUUAGCCUUGCUUACGGGUACGCAAGCAGGCAAGGAGAAACACGAAAUGAAUAUUCAGAAGUUAUUAGUCUGUAGUGAAAUGUGACGGGGCUCACCCUUCUCGAAAACCGCCCUGGCCUCCGCCACAUCGCCCACUCUUCCGUCUCAUCCUCUGACUCUCGGCUGCUCCUCCCCCCCGUCCUGGGUGCCUUCGUCUCACCUCCUCGCGCCCUCAGCGGUAUAGAUUUUGCGAUACAUCCUGGCAGAAACACUCGCGAGCGAGCGAGACGCACUGCUUGCUCCGCUCGCUGCUACCAGUCGAAGAAGGGGUUGAAGCCUCGAUGAAAUAGGGGGUUGGGUGGGAGAGAGGGCUGAAAUCGUGAGAGAUGAGAAGCUGGCAGGGAAGGGGACAAGGAACACCGGAGAGCAGGCCCGACGGGAACACGACGGAGCUAGCGAAAGAGCUUUAUGCAUAAGCUAAGAAACGCCAUUGACGGGCACUGAGCACUGUAUACAUACUUUGACUGGAACAGUGCGCUCGAUAAACAACGGUGUAGAUAGCGCCUACGUGAUGCUACCGUGUCACGUAGCCGAGAUAUUCUUCGCCCGGUAAUGCGUACAUCGUUUCUAUGUGCCGACAUCUCUAAUUGCCCUAAUUAUAUUAAUACUCGCCGCGUUUAAUGAAAUUAACGGCAAUGCACCGGUGAGAAGAAGCGUUGAUUAAGAGUUGAUGCUACUUGCAGUUUUUACGUAGUUUUCGAUGGUUCGAAGCUUCUGCACGCCUGAAGAUCGUGCAGAUUUACAUAACCAGCUAUGAGUUAAGAGACAUUUAAUAUCCUGAUAUUAGUAGGUAUAGUAAUUAAAGAAUGAAGCUGAUGCUUGUUAACCGCGUGUGUUGUGAGUGGGCUACGGAUUUUUCUGCGUUUUUUGUAUACAACAUAUCGAAGCUUUAAGACUCGUUAUAGCAUUCUUCUUCUAUUGUUAGUAGGUAAAACAAUUGUCUACCUAUAUAGAAAUUUGCAUAGAUAUCUGCAAUCUAAUUACGAGGAAAAUUAAAUUGUAUUGUAUUUUAUUAAGGGUUACAUUUAAUAAUAGCAAAGGUCUCAUGACUUGCGUACGGAUGAAAGUCUAUGUAUUGAUAUCUUGGGAAUUGUCUUCUUAUUAUAAUAAUUGUUAGCCAAGGUAGAGAACAAGGAAAUACGAAGAGAAAGAAAAGAUGACAAAAAGGAAAGGUGAAAAUUUAGAAUAUUACUGUAAAAAUAUUAAACUUAUCUACUGUGUGAAACAUUGAUUUAUGACCAUUCUCGGACCAGGAGUCGAAAAUACUUCACAAACAGAUGGAUAUCUGGGGAAACGAUACGAACGGCUAUAGAAACAGUAGCAUCUUGGAAAUGUGUUGUAGCGAACGAUAUUCAAAUGGCAUCAAUUUCUACCGAAUUGCUCCCUCUAUAUCUGGCCGCAACCUGGAUGCAAGACCUUCCUUCGACUCCCUUCGCGAAGAGGGAGGAAACCGUAUUGGCAGAUAGCUACAUCGUUUUACAACCCCUUAUCUGGAUAAGUUACGGAUAUCUAUUCACCGUUUCUCUCUCCUCCGAAACUGUCUUCGAUGGUGUCAUCGAUUUCCAUGGAAAUUCCUCUCAGAUUCUACGAUACGGAGGGGAAGCAUCUAGAACGAAUGAUAAAAAACAUAUUCGAUGCCCAUUGUCUGAUCUUAUCUCUGUGCUUUUCUAUUUGAUGAAGAUAUAUCGUGUCAUUAAAAUGUUGUCUUUUUAUAAAAUAAUCAAAUAACAGAGAUGUAUUAGACUAAGAACUGUAGAAGAAUUAUAAUUGAAAAAACGUUACGGAAUAACUUAAUAAACGUUCUGGAAUAAUUUACAUAUAACAGAUCAGCUAUUAAUAUUAAAAUCAUAUUAAAGAUGACGCGAGAAAGAUUUAAUAUGUUUGGGCAGAACGGUCGAACAUCUAGUGAAAUAUCGUGACACCCAGUACAUCGCGGCAAUUCCCUUCAUCUGCUUAUAUUACACAUACAAUAUCUGGGUAUCGAAGUCGGUUGAUCCUGGUAAGUUCUCUCCCUUGGCAGCGGGCUAUACAUCAUACUUUCUUCUUUAUUAAACUCAUAUUUUUCAAAAAGUCUCACCUCCGCUAUCUGGUGUCGGCCUCCUCUCGCUCGCAACUCGGAAAUCAGCUCCGGGGAGAACGAAAAAUUCAUUUGACUCUCGAGGAUAAGAUGAAUAUGAAAAUUGCCUGGCUAAAAAUGAUUUACAUUCGAACGUCACGUUGAUGAUAUAACUGGAGGUGACUGUCUUGUCAUGAAUAAUUUAUUCCACCGGAAAAUGAUAGAAAAAUAUAUCUAUGCUCCGUGAUAAAAAUCACUUUCCGUUUUGACCGCCCGAAACAGUAAGCAUUAUUAACAGGAAACAUAAUCUUUUAUCGAGAAUAACGGGUAUAAUUCUAUGUAAAAAUUCGGGACACGUUCAACGAUAACUGUACGAUGAUUUAAUUGUUAUACAUAUAUAUACAUAAGACAUAAGAAUGGUAUAAGAAAUCAAGAUUCAUCUCUGUGGAAAUUUUGUCUUUUCAAUAACUGAAAUGUCGAUUUAAUUCUACUACAACGAAAAAUAAAAUAUAUAAAUGUAUCACACCGUUUCCCCGUGCGAAUCAUAGCUCAACAAUUUUCAGUCAAAACAUUAUUUCACUAUGAAUGCUGUUGAGACCAGAGAGAGUUCUGAAAGAUAAAAUAUUUAUUGAACAAAUAUAUCACGCAUCGUGUUUCGAAUAUAAUACUAAUAAAUUCACAUGGUAAAACUUUUCUUAAUACGUAACUUACAUGUAAAUCAAAUUACAAAGGGUCUGUGUCGAAAAUUUCUAACGAUCACAGUAUGACUCUAAAUCACAAUGAUUGUUGCGCUAUCGUUUUUCAAAAACCAUAUUCGAAACGCUCGAGCAAUGUAUUCUUAUUCUGCUACGCAAAGUCUGGUGGGAAAAUAUAAUUCUCCGGUAGUUGGCUGACAAUGGAGCCGAAAGGAAAACGAGGGGGAAGUUCUGUAACGAGCGACGCUUUCGUCGCGUGGCGAUUUGUCUGUUCGCGGGUGGAGAAGUUCGGCCACUUUCGUUCGACGCGUCCUGGAGAGAUUGGCCGUUCCACGGGCAUAAAGAAGAAAGCCACCCCCUUUAGCCGGCUUUCAGCAAACUCUCUGCCACCCUCUCCUCAUGACCCGAAACCGCGGCCGGUUAUAAAGCAUUCUUCCAGUUUAUUAGACGGAGACUCGCGGGCUUCUUUUUAUAUUAAGCAUGUGCAUUAUUAAUGCGCGAGUAUAACCGUAAAAUGCUGAUGAAAAAAAGUUGCGGAGCCCCACGGGCGUUUCUUCGUGGCCAGGCGGGAAGAAGGCUCCUGCGAGAUUGCUGCUUGACCGACUAUUCCUUCCUCGGUUCCGCUUGAUAACGUACUACGAAUUUUCACAAACAAAUUCUCUUUCCUGUUUAAUCUAACUCACAUUUUGUAAUUUUAACGGUGCCACAAAUGUUUCAUCUUUGGUUCGGUUUUUCUUUAUGUAGUUAAUAACUUAGAGAACGAUUUGUUUGCCUUCUCUGUUCUUUGAGUAAAUACGUAGUAACAUUAAGAUGUAAUUGAUUAAAAUGCUUUUACAAUUAUUGCAAUACUUGUAAUGAAAAUAGAUCCGAGUUACCUUUCUUUUCGUUAA